UACGGAGGGAGCUAGCGUUGUUCGGAAUUACUGGGCGUAAAGCGCGCGUAGGCGGCUUUGUAAGUUAGAGGUGAAAGCCCGGGGCUCAACCCCGGAAUUGCCUUUAAGACUGCAUCGCUUGAAUCCGGGAGAGGUGAGUGGAAUUCCUAGUGUAGAGGUGAAAUUCGUAGAUAUUCGGAAGAACACCAGUGGCGAAGGCGACUUACUGGACACAUAUUGACGCUGAGGUGCGAAAGCG
rnacentral:rRNA from 1 species